rnacentral:lncRNA from 1 species
AUUUCCAUCGAUGUAAAUCCAAUAUCAUCUAACUGUAAUUCUUUCAACACAGUCUCUGGAUCCAGCGAGUACUAUUCUCUUGAUGAGUUCAUCUACCGCAGAAUCUCCAUGGUACAUAAAGGAGAAAUCUAUUUGAUUCACAAAUGCACAUGGCUGUAAGGAUGGACCUUAUCAUUAAGAAAGGGGUUCUUCCCAAGAUUGAUAACGACGACCUUAAUCUCACAUUUAAUUACAAUUAUUUGUAAUCACUAUACAACAACUAGAUUUCUAUUAAGUGAUAAAUAUUUGAUUAGAUGUUACAUAUUAAGUCUUGUAAGCAUAUACAUGUUUAGUUAGCUGUUAAAACUUUAUGUAAAAUUUAUUUGUUACAAAUUAGUUGCUGUUAUAUGAUAU